ACCGUGGACAUUUGGCUCAGCUGCGUGAACAAUACUCCAAACAACGAACCUCCGAACUGAGACACUGAAUCUGUAACUCUCAGCCGCCUUAGUCCUGCUCGCCUCGCCACUGCCGCGUGUUUACACCAAGACAGCGGGCCGCUUACUAGUUUCCUUAGUACUUGUGCGUCCGUAUCAAUACCGUGUGCUGUAAACUGAACGAAGAUACUCAUUAAGUUUUGGUCGCCUCUCCAUUAUCUCGUGGUGACGUAAAGGUGACGGCCCGUGUGAAAGUUUCCCCGGUAAUUGUGCCUCCGUAGCAUUACUGUGUGUCGUGGUCGUGAGAACUGCGAGGCGGCGGUGCAGACUGUGCCGUGGAGAGCCGCGGGGUGUUGGAAUCGCCUGUCAGUCACCUUGAAGGCGUCAUAUUCCCUCCCUGCUCUUCCCCGUGUCUUCCUGUCGAUGUUGAGGGCGUGGGGGCGGGGCGGCCACAGUGCGCCCCUUCAUUGUGUUUAGACAGGAGGAGAGCGGCAUUCUAGUAUUGUGAGUGCGGCUCUGUUCUGAGUGAUAAUUACCUCAGCACAGCCUCGACCAAUCAGCACCAAGUAUUCAAGUCACGUGAUACUCUCUCCUCGCCGUCUCCUCAACCAUUCGCCCUGCGCCCGUUGACGUGAUGUGACGGGUCUCCGGUUGUGUUGCAGCGGUGAGGUGGUGUUGCAUCUUUUCUCAGCGGGCGUGUUGUGGUGGAUUGCGGUGUGGAGGGAGAGGUGGAUAGGAAAUAAUUGGUGGGCUGUGUGUGGUGAGUGCCACAUUGUCUGUGAGGGAUCCCCAGAGCCACACAGCAGCAGCUGCAACAGCUACAGCAGCAGCAGCAGCAGCAGCAGCAGCAGCAGCAGCAGGAGGAAAUGGCAUCCACCUUCUACCUCACCCAGUGUCACCGGGGCCUCCUCCUCCUCCAGCAGCUGGCCAGGGUGCAGGGACAGGAUGAGCAAGGUGGUGACAGAGAGGGUGGCCAGCUUGUCCCCCUCCUGCCACCCAGCCACAGCACUGGCAGUUGCUGCAGUGAGACUGCCCAGGCACAAGUUUGUGCACGUGUCCAGGACGUGAAGGUGAUGGGAACGUGUCCUGUAGGAGGGAGCAGAGCUGUAACAGUACCCGAGUCUGCUGCUGUGCUGGGAGGAGGAGAAAAACAUCAGCAGUAGUUAGUAGUGGUAGUAGAAGUAUUCAGCAGUGGUGGGGCUCUGCUGCUGCUGCUGCUGCUGCUGCUGCUGCUGCUGCUGUCAGUGGUGCAGCUGUUCACUCCUCCACAGCUGCUGCCUUCCCUCACCUACAAUCAACUAUGAACAAUACCUUUCGUGCAAUCAGGCAGCGCUCGGCUGUACUCACCGAUAGACUGACCACUAAGAAUUACCUGUGGGCCACAUGACAAGGCCCACGCCAGCCAGGCUUAGUUGCCAAUCAAUAACAACAACAACAACAUCUCGUGCAAUGAAGAACACUGAAUAACAACAACACCUCUCCCCUGCAUCAUCAACAAUCAACAACAUCUGCUUUGUUUCACUGAUGCCGGCCUCUCUCUCUCUCUCUCUCUCUCUCUCUCUCUCUCUCUCUCUCUCUCUCUCUCUCUCUCUCUCUCUCUCUCUCUCUCUCUCUCUCUCUCUCUCUCUCUCUCUCUCUCUCUCUCUCUCUCUCUCUCUCUCUCUCUCUCUCUCUCUCUCUCUCUCUCUCACCUCACCUCACCUCACCUCACCUCACCUCAGCCCACAGCGCCACAGUAUGUCCCCCACAGUAUGUUUACAAACCCACAGUGACUCCCCACAGCCCCUCACCAAUAAGUGACAUCCUCACACACACACCACAACAUACACAAACACUGCAUCUUGUACAAUGGCCACAAUAAAGAAUGGACACACAAAAUGGACAAA